CCUACCUGCAGAGGCAUUGCAGGUGUGGCUGCCGUGUCACAUGUGUGUCAGUAGGUGGCAGACAGGAGAGAGGCUAUGUCUAAGCUCAAUGUUCUGACCUGUAAACAUUGGAGUAAUUAGUAUCCUACAUU
rnacentral:snoRNA from 1 species